CUAAAUGAAGCUUAUUUGAGCAUCUUAUUUACAUUAAGGAGGACUUUAGAAAUGAAGCAUUUUGA
rnacentral:tRNA from 1 species